GCGGGUAUGGCGGAAUUGGCAGACGCGCUGGAUUUAGGUUCCAGUGGAGUGAUCCGUGUGGGUUCGACCCCCACUACCCGUACCA
rnacentral:tRNA from 5 species